rnacentral:lncRNA from 1 species
UUAGUGGUAGCGGAGGAGGGUCAGGUAACUCCUUCAUUUCCUCCCGGGCCUGUUGGGCAGCGAUGAGUCUCUCCAACAUCUCAAAUAAUCGGUCGACAACCUAUCUAAGCGAACCCUCUCGGGCUGCUCGGUUUAGUAGGGGUCUUCCUCUCCUCAUCUAUUUGUACCUACAUUUCAUAAGGAACAGUUGAGUGAUAAUUCAUUAUUUUUGGUGUUUCCUAAGGAUUUUGUGUAAGGAAUGGGUUCGAGGGAUGCAACUCUGAUACCAACUGUAAUGACCUCGGAAAUACCAAAAGAAAUAAAUUAUAAAUAAAGUGAGGAAGUAAAAUAAAUUGUUACAAUUUACAUUCUUUACACAAUAACUUAAAGUACCAAAUAGGACUACAAUAAUGAUUCUUUUAAAAUAAAUACAAAAAAUUAAGGAAAUAAAUAGAAAAUAAAUAAAACUGGCAUCCUACUCGCAACCCUCUUGUAGAUCGGGCUCUAGAUCAUAGUCAUCUUGAUCUGAAAUGAUUAAUAAAUGAAUGAGCUACACUAGCUCAGUAAGAAUAUCACGCUACUCACCGACAUAAAAAUGAAGAUUGGUAGAAAAAUUAAAACAACUAAUGGAGCUCUUAAUUUAGCCAAAAUCGUUUCUUAUAAAUACAAUCACUUACCGUCUACUUACCGUAACGAGAUUUACAAAAUAACCUAUAGAGACAAUAACAUAACACAUCUCAUGAUUUCAUAUACAAUUGGUUAGAACAAUAAUUUUCUCUUUUAUCAGCCUACUGGUAUUCAUUGGGGUUCAUAGGGAUGUCUUUACAAUGUGCGAACCUUUUCCUUUAAAAUUUUCAAUUAACUGGUCAUCCCCAUAUCCCGUCCGGUAUGAGUGCCAAAUUAUUAAACCUCAAUACCUCAUCCGAUAUGAGGGUGAAACGGGUCAUCCUUAUACUCCGUUUGGUAUGAGCGCCAAAUUUUCAAGCAUCGAUACUCCGUCCGGUAUGAAGCAAUGUUCACGGUAGGGUUCCCUAUAUACCCGGUCCGUCCACCAUCUCCCAGAAUACCCAGUAAGGCUGUCGUUUCAUCCAUUCACUUAAUCACAUAAUUUCUUGUUUACCUUAAAUUUUCAGUUUCCUAAUUUAACUGUAAACACAUAAAACAAACAACAGAUGCAUUUAAAACUAUAAAAUCGAUCAAUUAGAUACUAUCAUGCAUUCAAACUGU